rnacentral:rRNA from 1 species
GAUGAACGCUAGCUACAGGCUUAACACAUGCAAGUCGAGGGGAAACGAUGAGAGAGCUUGCUCGCUUAGGCGUCGACCGGCGCACGGGUGAGUAACGCGUAUCCAACCUACCCAUUACAGGGGGAUAACCUUGCGAAAGUAAGACUAAUACCCCAUGGCAUUUUAUGGUGGCAUCAUUAUAGGAUUAAAGAUUUAUUGGUAAUGGAUGGGGAUGCGUCUGAUUAGCUUGUUGGCGGGGUAACGGCCCACCAAGGCAACGAUCAGUAGGGGUUCUGAGAGGAAGGUCCCCCACAUUGGAACUGAGACACGGUCCAAACUCCUACGGGAGGCAGCAGUGAGGAAUAUUGGUCAAUGGGCGAGAGCUUGAACCAGCCAAGUAGCGUGCAGGAUGACGGCCCUAUGGGUUGUAAACUGCUUUUAUAGGGGAAUAAAGUGAGCUACGUGUAGUUUAUUGCAUGUACCCUAUGAAUAAGGACCGGCUAAUUCCGUG